rnacentral:rRNA from 1 species
AUGCAUGGCAUCACUCAAAUGUGUGUAUUCCUGCUGUUGAAUUUUAGAAUCAGCACUCUGUUUUCUUUUCAAGCUUCUCUCGAAACCAUCUUUGAGAAAAAUUCUUUACUAAGUAAUGAUUUCUUCUUUUCUGUAGUAUUCCUCAAGUUUAUGAAUGAACUGAUAGAUGUCAUCUACUGCCUAUUAAGUAGGCUAUGCAAAAUAUGUUUUCAUGUAACUUGUACCCAUGCACCAGUGAUAAAGCUGAUAAUUUUCAUUUUAUCUCAGGGUUCCUCCGUCCAUUUAUCUCCUUUUAUGUUCAGUGGUGAAGAGGGUUAUAUUCCUAACUAUGUAGAGAUUAUUAAGGGUGUCAAGUUACUUCUCAUAAGUGAUCGGGACUAUGAGAUCAUUAAGGGGCAUUGA